CACCUGAACGAAGGAUGAAAGGCGGAGCAAUCUGCUACAAGGAGAUGGGCCUGCGGCGCAUUAGCUAGUUGGUGGGGUAACGGCUCACCAAGGCGACGAUGCGUAGCCGACCUGAGAGGGUGAACGGCCACACUGGGACUGAGACACGGCCCAGACUCCUACGGGAGGCAGCAGUAGGGAAUCUUCCGCAAUGGGCGAAAGCCUGACGGAGCAACGCCGCGUGAGUGAUGAAGGUUUUCGGAUCGUAAAGCUCUGUUGCCAGGGAAGAACGUCCGGUAGAGUAACUGCUACCGGAGUGACGGUACCG
rnacentral:rRNA from 1 species